rnacentral:rRNA from 1 species
AUUGAACGCUGGCGGCAGGCCUAACACAUGCAAGUCGAACGAGUGGCGGACGGGUGAGUAAUGUCUGGGAAACUGCCUGAUGGAGGGGGAUAACUACUGGAAACGGUAGCUAAUACCGCAUACCAUCGGAUGUGCCCAGAUGGGAUUAGCUAGUAGGUGGGGUAAAGGCUCACCUAGGCGACGAGCCCUAGCUGGUCUGAGAGGAUGACCAGACACACUUGAACGGUGACACGGUCACGACUCCUACGUGAGGCAGCAGUAGGGAAUAGUCCACAAUUGGGUCAAGCCUGAUGCAGACAUGCCGCGUGUAUGAAUAAGGCUUUCGUGUUGUAAAGAGCUUUCAGCGGGGAGGCGUUACCCGCAGAAGAAGCAACGGCUAACUCCGUGCCAGCAGCCGCGGUAAUUC